GAUGAAGAACGCAGCGAAAUGCGAUACGUAAUGUGAAUUGCAGAACUCAGUGAAUCAUCGAAUCUUUGAACGCAUAUUGCGCUCUCUGGUAUUCCGGAGAGCAUGCUUGUUUGAGUAUCAGUAAACACCUCAACUUCCAUAUCUUUUUUGAAAUGGGAGUUGGACUUGAGUGAUCCCAACGCUUUUCCUCACCGAAAAGUGGCGGGUUACUUGAAAUGCAGGUGCAGCUGGACUUUUCUCUUAUCUAUAAGCAUAUCUAUUUAGUCUAGCUAAAAAACAGAUUAUUACCUUUGCUGCAGCUAACAUAAAGGAGAUUAGUUCUUGUGCUGACUGAUGCAGGAUUCACAAAGACAGGCUUCGGCCGACUUUGUAAACUCGAUCUCAAAUCAAGUAAGACUACCCGCUGAACUUAAGCAUAUCAAUAAGCGGAGGA
rnacentral:misc_RNA from 1 species